GAAUCAAAGAAAAGAGGGCACAGAGGGGUGAAUGUGAUCACAUUGCAUUGUAGACAUGUACGGAACUGCCAAAACUUAAAUGUUAAAAAAAAUAAAUACAAUGUACAAGUUUCCUAAGAGAUAGCUCUGGCCUUUUGUCUUUUAGAUCAUUCAAAAUAUUUUGUGUUCUCUCUGAUUUUCUGUGAAGACUCUGGCACUCAGAGUAAGUCUCUACGAACACUAAAAUUGGUUUUGGUCUUUACAGUCUGCUCUUGUUUUCCCUAUCAGAAGAUGACUGUGGUAAAGCACAUGUCCUCAGCCCACACAGUGGAAAUUGAUGCAAAUACAUUUGGUUUCUCCAUACUCAGAGAGGCCCCAGUGGUUUGUCCACACUCAGACACACUACUAAGCACAGUUGGAUGUAUUUUUCCCAAGUCAAAGGCUGUCAACCUCUACCUUUUCUUUUCUUUCUCUUCAGCUUCCUGUCACCCAUUCCUCAGCCUGUGGAAACAUCCAAAAGUUUUUUUUUUUUUUUUUUCUGUGACAUCCUGUUGAAUUUCUUUUAGGGGAGUCUCCUUUUCGUGCUUAGGUUUUCAGUGGGAUUUGGGGAAAAUAAUUAAAAGACUGCUGGAGACAGAGGCAUGCACUGGGCUCUGGGGCUGACUCUGCUGGAGACAGAGGCAUGCACUGGGCUCUGGGGCUGACUCUGCUGGAGACAGAGGCAUGCACUGGGCUCUGGGGCUGACUCUGCUGGAGACAGAGGCAUGCACUGGGCUCUGGGGCUGACUCUGCUGGAGACAGAGGCAUGCACUGAGCUCUGGGGCUGACUCUGCUGGAGACAGAGGCAUGCACUGGGCUCUGGGGCUGACUCUGCUGGAGACAGAGGCAUGCACUGGGCUCUGGGGCUGACUCUGCUGGAGACAGAGGCAUGCACUGGGCUCUGGGGCUGACUCUGAAGCAGAGUGGUAUUUCCUUGUUUCUUUCUCUCUCUGAAAAGAUUGGGCCUGGAGCCAGGAGCCUUUUUCACUCUGCUUCAGAUCAACUGAAUAGUGGGCACCACACCCUCAGACACAGGGAAUUCUUCCCUUUGUAGCUCUCUCUGCCCAGUCAUUUCUAACUGCUUGAUGAAUUCCCUGCUUCCCAUAAGUACAAUUUACUUCUCCCAGAACUAUAUCCAAGGCUUUAAAACUGUUGACAGCCAUCAGACUGCAUAUGUACAGAUUUCCAACUGCAAAAAUGAUGUCUGAAAUGUAUACCAUGUAAUCUAAUGGGAGAACUACGGAAACAUUUAGGAUACAUAGCACAUGGUUUUAUUGUAAUAUUUUAAAAUCUAAUAACAUACUUCCUGUCUUUUACAAAUUCAAUUUAAAGAGCAUUUCCAAGGUCUGGAUACAAUAAAAUACCUCUUCAUUAAUGUUUAUUUCUUCUAGCUUUGAGAUGGUGACAUCAGUACUCCUCUGUUUCUUGGAUUUAUUUGUAGAAGCAAAUUUAGAACGACACAGUUAUUUUGAUUUUAACUUCAUUAAGAAUCCUCCUUGGGAAGGAGAAACUAUAGAGAGCAAUGAUGUUUCUGUUCAAGUGGUCUUAGCAUUUAUUUGAAGGACACAAAUGCAAAUUGUGUCCUUAGCUUCAUUAGAAAGACAUGCAUAAGUACGUUAGUAUCACCUAGUUGCUCAUGGUCCUAUGAAACGGCUAAAAAACCAAUUCUCCAGAGAAAUUAGAAAUCAUUAAAUAUCAUGAAUUAAUCUUAUAAAUAUAUAGGUUGUUAAGUAUGCAAAGUUAGUAAAAUUUCAAUAUCUGAUUUUUCUUUUUGUAAAGAAAAAAAAUAUAGCCUAGCACUCAAAUAAGAAAGCACUAAAAGACAUGAAACUUCCUUAGAAUAUCUGAACUGCUGUGUUCUGAGUCCUUGUUUUGAAGGACCAAUGAGUCAGCCCAAUAUUAUUAGAUAAAAAUCACAAAAAAAUAGUAUAUUUUACUAUGGGAGUUACCUAUGAAACGUUAGACAGAUAGACUAGGCACAUAUUUUGUGACUUUCUCAGGGUCUUAUUUGAGCCAAGGUCCUGAGGACCAAAGGACAUCUGGAUACUGCUUUGUGGGUCAGAUUGAAGAGAACCAU
rnacentral:lncRNA from 1 species